rnacentral:rRNA from 1 species
UACGUAGGGGGCAAGCGUUGUCCGGAAUCAUUGGGCGUAAAGCGCGUGUAGGCGGCUUGGCUAAGUCGGGUGUGAAAACUGGAGGCUCAACCCGUCCAGCCUGGCAGUGGGGUACGGGCAGACUAGAGUGCGGUAGGGGAGGAUUGGAAUUCCUGGUGGUAGCGGUGGAAUGCGCAGAUAUCAGGAGGAACACCGAUGGCGAAGGCAGAUCGUCUGGGCCGUAACUGACGCUGAGGAGCGAAAGCAUGGGGAGCGAACAGG